rnacentral:misc_RNA from 1 species
CCUGAAUUGAAUGAUAGUUAAUGUGAUUUGUCAAUAGCAAAUAAAUAGUAUGAUAAAAGGGAAGAGGGUAGGAAAACAACGAGUGAUCAAGAUUUAAAACAGAAUUUUUGCAUGUUCAGAAAUUGAGACUCUACAAUUCAUAAAUAUUCUGCAUGUUAUCCUUAAUUUUUUGGAAAAUGCACAAAUAUGACUCUUUUGUGUGCGUGUGUGUGGACGGGUGUAGGUAUGGGUCUUUGCAAAAGUCAUUAUGUGAUUGUGUUGACAGAUAACUAGUAAUUUUAAUUUCCUUAAAAUCAUUAUA